rnacentral:rRNA from 1 species
CUACGUGCCAGCAGCCGCGGUAACACGUAAGGGGCGAGCGUUGUUCGGAAUUAUUGGGCGUAAAGGGUAUGUAGGCGGUUAGGUAAGCCUGGUGUGAAAUCUACGAGCUCAACUCGUAAACUGCAUUGGGUACUGCUUGACUUGAAUCACGGAGGGGAAACCGGAAUUCCAAGUGUAGGGGUGGAAUCUGUAGAUAUUUGGAAGAACACCGGUGGCGAAGGCGGGUUUCUGGCCGAUGAUUGACGCUGAUAUACGAAGGUGCGGGGAGCAAACAGGAUUAGAUACCCUGGUAGUCCGCACAGUAAACGAUGUACACUAGGUGUCGGGGCAAGAGCUUCGGUGCCGACGCAAACGCAUUAAGUGUACCGCCUGGGAAGUAUGCCCGCAAGGGUGAAACUCAAAGGAAUUGACGGGGGCCCACACAAGCGGUGGAGCAUGUGGUUUAAUUCGAUGAUACGCGAGAAACCUUACCUGGGUUUGACAUCAAGAGCAAUGACAUAGAGAU